CAGCAGCCACGGUAAUACGGAGGAUCCAAGCGUUAUCCGGAUUUAUUGGGUUUAAAGGGUGCGUAGGCGGCCUGUUAAGUCAGGGGUGAAAGACGGUAGCUUAACUAUCGCAGUGCCCUUGAUACUGAUGGGCUUGAAUGUACUAGAGGUAGGCGGAAUGAGACAAGUAGCGGUGAAAUGCAUAGAUAUGUCACAGAACACCAAUUGCGAAGGCAGCUUACUAUGGUAUGAUUGACGCUGAGGCACGAAAGUGUGGGGAUCAAACAGGAUUAGAUACCCCCGUAGUCCCUGUCUCUUAUAC
rnacentral:rRNA from 1 species